AGUGAACGCUGGCGGUAGGCCUAACACAUGCCAGUCGAACGGCAGCACAGUAAGAGCUUGCUCUUACGGGUGGCGAGUGGCGGACGGGUGAGGAAUACAUCGGAAUCUACUUUUUCGUGGGGGAUAACGUAGGGAAACUUACGCUAAUACCGCAUACGACCUACGGGUGAAAGCAGGGGAUCUUCGGACCUUGCGCGAUUGAAUGAGCCGAUGUCGGAUUAGCUAGUUGGCGGGGUAAAGGCCCACCAAGGCGACGAUCCGUAGCUGGUCGGAGAGGAUGAUCAGCCACACUGGAACUGAGACACGGUCCAGACUCCUACGGGAGGCAGCAGUGGGGAAUAUUGGACAAUGGGCGCAAGCCUGAUCCAGCCAUACCGCGUGGGUGAAGAAGGCCUUCGGGUUGUAAAGCCCUUUUGUUGGGAAAGAAAAGCAGCAGGUUAAUACCCCGCUGUUCUGACGGUACCCAAAGAAUAAGCACCGGCUAACUUCGUG
rnacentral:rRNA from 1 species